rnacentral:ncRNA from 1 species
GUGUUGUAUGAAAGGAGAGAAGGUUAGCACUCCCCUUGACAAGGAUGGAAGAGGUCCUAGUGGCCUUCAACACACAUAUGGUUAAGGCAUUGCCACCUAUUUUGUGGCAUCUCUAACCAAAUU